AGGGUGUCGAUCCAGUAUGCGAGU
rnacentral:siRNA from 1 species